AUGACAAAUCUGCAGGCUGAAGACACUGCCGUUUAUUACUGUGCCCGCGAAAACACAUCUGUUGGGAGUCAGACACUGACUGAGUCUGAGUCAGUGGUCAUUAAACCUGGAGGAUCUCACAAACUCACCUGUACAUUCUCUGGAUUUAGUAGUGACCCAGACUUAGCUUGGAUCAGACAGACUGCAGGAGGAGGUCUGGAGUGGCUGGCAUACAUCUCAUCUGGUAGUGGUACUAUAUACUACUCUCAGUCUGUUCAGGGACGCUUCACCAUCUCCAGAGACAACAGCAAGAAACAGAUGUAUCUGCAGAUGAAUAAUAUGAAGAAUGAAGACACUGCUGUAUAUUAUUGUGCAAGAGAGACACAGUAA